CAGAAACUCCAUCCCAACAAUGGACAAGUGCUGCCACUCUGACACUGAGGGCUCCAUGUCUCUUGGAGGAACCAUGGUCUUCACUGGCAGCUUGGCCCGUGCCUGCCUCCUCUUCAGGAUGCGGUGGUACUGCUUGGCAUUGACAUAGAGGGGCUCCUCUUCCAGCAUCUCUGCUCCAGGCAAAGGGAUCCUCUGGAUGGCUGGGACAGAGCCAGCUCCAGGCACCAUCUGUACAGAGAACCUGGGUUUAGUUCUUGCAGCUCAGCACACAAACUGAACAGAAAAAUGGCAUUCAAAGCCCCACUAUUGAAACAGAAACUGGGUUUUGCUCAAGUAACGCAGCUACUUAAAUGAAAAGGAGCAAUAAAAGUGUUCUCAAACUGCAGAACCAAUUAAAACAAAUCAAUUCCUUAUCAGUCCUGCUGGGUUUUCCUGAUGAAGGUAAAAUUUCAAUACAAUUCCUUGACUGUGUUGCUGCUUCUUGGACAAUUAAACUAACAGGACAUGG